AUUGAACGCUGGCGGAAUGCUUUACACAUGCAAGUCGAGCGGCAGCACGGGGGCAACCCUGGUGGCGAGCGGCGAACGGGUGAGUAAUACAUCGGAACAUGCCCAGUCGUGGGGGAUAACACUUCGAAAGAAGUGCUAAUACCGCAUACGUCCUGAGGGAGAAAGCGGGGGAUCUUCGGACCUCGCGCGAUUGGAGUGACCGAUGUCAGAUUAGCUAGUUGGUGGGGUAAAGGCCUACCAAGGCAACGAUCUGUAGCUGGUCUGAGAGGAUGAUAAGCCACACUGGGACUGAGAAACGGCCCAGACUCCUACGGGCGGCAGCAGUGGGGAAUUUUGGACAAUGGGGGCAACCCUGAUCCAGCCAUUCCGCGUGGGUGAAGAAGGCCUUCGGGUUGUAAGGCUCUUUCGGCAGGAACGAAACGGCGAGCUCUAACAUAGCUUGCUAAUGACGGUACCUGAAGAAGAAGCACCGGCUAACUACGUGCCAGCCGCCGCGGUAAGAC
rnacentral:rRNA from 1 species